AGGCUUUGAUCCUGGCUCAGGAUGAACGCUGGCGGCGUGCUUAACACAUGCAAGUCGAACGAACCUUCGGGUUAGUGGCGGACGGGUGAGUAACGCGUGAGAAUCUGCCCUCAGGAGGGGGAUAACGGCUGGAAACGGCCGCUAAUACCCCAUAUGCCGAGAGGUGAAACGAGUUUUCGCCUGAGGAUGAGCUCGCGUCUGAUUAGCUAGUUGGUGGGGUAAGAGCUUACCAAGGCAUCGAUCAGUAGCUGGUCUGAGAGGAUGAUCAGCCACACUGGGACUGAGACACGGCCCAGACUCCUACGGGAGGCAGCAGUGGGGAAUUUUCCGCAAUGGGCGAAAGCCUGACGGAGCAACGCCGCGUGAGGGACGAAGGCCUCUGGGCUGUAAACCUCUUUUCUCAAGGAAGAAGAUCUGACGGUACUUGAGGAAUAAGCCACGGCUAUUCCGUGC
rnacentral:rRNA from 1 species